UUUUCCUUCAAAGUAAAUAUGAAAAAUAUCUCUAUAAAAUAUUUUGACUAAUACUUUACCCUUCAUUGUAUCACCAGAAACAACUACAGCUUCAACAACUGCAGAAACAACUACAGUUCCAACAACUCCAGAAACAACUACAGAACCGACUACAACACCAACACCA